rnacentral:rRNA from 1 species
GACAGAGGGUGCAAACGUUGUUCGGAAUUACUGGGCGUAAAGCGAGUGUAGGCGGUCUGCUAAGUCGGGUGUGAAAGCCCCGGGCUCAACCCGGGAAGUGCACUCGAAACUGGCAGGCUAGAGUAUCGGAGAGGUUGGUGGAAUUCUCGGUGUAGAGGUGAAAUUCGUAGAUAUCGAGAGGAACACCGGUGGCGAAGGCGGCCAACUGGACGAAUACUGACGCUGAGACUCGAAAGCGUGGGGAG